rnacentral:rRNA from 1 species
UACGGGGGGGGCUAGCGUUGUUCGGAAUUACUGGGCGUAAAGCGCACGUAGGCGGACUGGAAAGUAAGAGGUGAAAUCCCAGGGCUCAACCUUGGAACUGCCUUUGAAACUCCCGGUCUUGAGGUCGAGAGAGGUGAGUGGAAUUCCGAGUGUAGAGGUGAAAUUCGUAGAUAUUCGGAGGAACACCAGUGGCGAAGGCGGCUCACUGGCUCGAUACUGAAGCUGAGGUGCGAAAGCGUGGGGAGCAAACAGG